rnacentral:rRNA from 1 species
ACGUAGGGUGCGAGCGUUAAUCGGAAUUACUGGGCGUAAAGCGUGCGCAGGCGGUUUUGUAAGCCAGAUGUGAAAUCCCCGGGCUUAACCUGGGAACUGCAUUUGGGACUGCAAGGCUAGAGUACGGCAGAGGGGGGUAGAAUUCCUGGUGUAGCAGUGAAAUGCGUAGAUAUCAGGAGGAAUACCGAUGGCGAAGGCAGCCCCCUGGGUCGAUACUGACGCUCAUGCACGAAAGCGUGGGGAGCAAACAGGAUUAGAUACCCUGGUAGUCCACGCCCUAAACGAUGUCAACUAGUUGUUGGGGGCCUUACCGCCCUUAGUAACGCAGCUAACGCGUGAAGUUGACCGCCUGGGGAGUACGGUCGCAAGAUUA